rnacentral:rRNA from 1 species
GUGGGGUGAUGGCCUACCAAGGCGACGACGGGUAGCCGGCCUGAGAGGGCGAUCGGCCACACUGGGACUGAGACACGGCCCAGACUCCUACGGGAGGCAGCAGUGGGGAAUAUUGCGCAAUGGGCGAAAGCCUGACGCAGCGACGCCGCGUGAGGGAUGACGGCCUUCGGGUUGUAAACCUCUUUCAGCAGGGACGAAGCGAGAGUGACGGUACCUGCAGAAGAAGCACCGGCCAACUACGUGCCAGCAGCCGCGGUAAUACGUAGGGUGCAAGCGUUGUCCGGAAUUAUUGGGCGUAAAGAGCUCGUAGGCGGCCUGUCGCGUCGGCUGUGAAAACCCGGGGCUCAACCCCGGGCCUGCAGUCGAUACGGGCAGGCUAGAGUCCGGUAGGGGAGACUGGAAUUCCUGGUGUAGCGGUGAAAUGCGCAGAUAUCAGGAGGAACACCGGUGGCGAAGGCGGGUCUCUGGGCCGGAACUGACGCUAAGGAGCGAAAGCGUGGGGAGCGAACAGGAUUAGAUACCCUGGUAGUCCACGCCGUAAACGUUGGGCGCUAGGUGUGGGGGACCUUCCACGGCCUCCGUGCCGCAGCUAACGC